CUGCUCAAAGAGAAAUGAGCAAGAGAUCUGACUCCAGGAGUCUUUCCUCAUUUACAGCUAGCUCUGCCAGUCUGUGUCUUUGCUGUGUCUGUGGAUGUGAGUGUCCCUGCUGGUCUGUAGGAGAUGGUAUUUUGGGGGCAGCUGCAAGGGAAAGAACUGAUCUGCUACUUACACAGCGCCGUAGCCUCAGCCUGAGGGUCUUCAGGUUCUCCCCCAGGGAGUUCACAUGCACCUUGAUGUCUGGGUCUUGGUUCUCAGCUUGGGGCAUCACCUCCUCCAGGUAAAACUGGAUCAUCUCAGACAAGGCUUGGCAACCCAGGUAACCCUAAGGGCAGGAGCCAAAGGUGCAAACCCUAGAAGAAAAAAGACUGUAAUUCAACUCUUCAGUAGCCAGGAUUGCCUGUCUCCAACCCCUUCUGAAUCUAGUUAUGUUGGAUACUGGGAGAGAAGCAUGUAGACUCUUUGGGCCUGACCUUUCUGAUUUUUCUCUGGAAGGGCUUCACUGAAGGGGCACAGAAGAAUAAUGUUUCUACAGCAUAGAUCCAGGGGCUCCUCCCCACCAGGAACCCAGCUUAGCAGGCAGGCUGUUCAUGUGGAACUCGCCAAAACCCCGUGCAGGUGGAUGUGCGGACACACCAAAGAACUGCACGAUUGUCCCUGCCAUUGGAAGGUCUCAUUCCCUGUCAUUCCUUCAUUCAGUCAACAAACUUGGAGGACCCAGUAUGUGCUACAUUUUGAGGAUAAAGUGAUGAACAACACAGACAAGAUCCCUGCCCUUGUGGAGUCUAUAUUCAAACCAGAGCUUGACCUUCAAACUGAGAGACCAACUUAAAAAUGGGGCCAUUUGGCCACUAACUGUUAUACACCCUCUGCUUGGGACACACGGUCUCAGCCCUCCUCCACCUUCAAGUCUGAUGGGAGAGAGAUUUCAGAGUGGUCCAAACAAUCUAAAGUAAAAGUGAACAGAGUUCAAAAUAAGUCCUCAAGGGCUGAGGGGAGACCAAGGGGAAGAUAAUGCGGUGAGGGCACUGAGAGAGGGAUUCCUAGAGGAAUUGCACCUUGCUUUGAAUUUUAGCCCUAAGCUGCAAAUCCUAGCUAACUUCUAAGUAGAUGCUGACAGCUGGCUUCUAUUUGGCCUGCCAUAUUGAAUGGCUUUGUCCCCAGGACAUGGUGGAGAUUUAGACAACCCAGGGCAGAAAAUCCUCUAGGAAAGGAAGUCUGAACUACACCGCUGGCUUUCUGAAAGGACAGGAUUUGAGGAGCUGGGAUGGUAGUAGGGGAGAGGGCAGCUGGGUGGGGUUUCUUCCAGGAAACAAUGUGGAUGCAAGAUGCAGUCCUCGUCCCUGGCCUGCCCUUACCGCUUUAGUAUUUCAGAUGAGUCAGGUCUCACUCUGCCACCUGCUUUCUGUAACUCUGCAGCAGGCCAGCAGCCUCCAGUCCACCCUCUCCUCCUCCCAGGGCUCUGGGGUGAAGCCCUCCCCAGGAACUCCCUGGCUCCCAGUACCCAUGGGAGAAGCUCUUUUCAACUGACAUGAUUUAUUUUAACAAUAAGGGGAAAAAACCACAUCCGAUUUCCACAGAAUUAGAGUUCCUCCUGACACGCCUGGACUUGCCAGUUGGGAAGGACACUCUCAAGCCGUCCUCUAUGCCAUUUGCCGUUCUGCUGUUCCUUUGCUUGGAGGGAAGAGAUGCCUGUUUCUAUAGGGAGGAAGUUUGAAGUGAGAAGAGAGGACAAAGAUUCUGUGAAUGGAAAGAGCACUGGACUGAGAGUUCAGGGAUGUGGCCUCCGGUCCCAGCUCCACCACUACUCAGUUGUCUGACGAAGGAAACAGAAAGUUGUGAUACAAUGUGGGUGACACAUUGCCUAGAAAGAAGUGCCGUUGUGAUACGUUUAUGUUGGUGGGAUGGGGGAAAGAAAUAACAGGUUCGUAUGGAGUGUUAUGAAAGAAUUAAAUCUUAACCUUCCAUUGGGGUAAGCUGAUGGAAACAACCAUAGCAAAGGACAGACUGAAUAUUUUUUUAUUCUCUUUAUAGAAAAUAACAGUAAAAAAAAGUAUUGACAUAGGAGAAGGAAACAAAAAGUUGUCAGGAGUUAAUGAAUAGAAAUAUUAUUUUUUUCUGGAUUUUAUGGUGUUUGUGUUAUUUGUUAGCUUUUAUGAAUUUGUAAUUUGUUGUAAUUUCUUUCUAAAUAAGUAUUUACUUUUGUCUCUAAUUUUGUCCAUCUAUUUUUGAAUUCAAUUUUCAAAUUCAAAAUGCUUCUCUCGGCCGGGCACGGUGGCUCACGCCUGUAAUCCCAGCACUUUGGGAGGUCGAGGCGGGUGGAUCACGAGGUCAGAAGAUCGAGACCAUCCUGGCUAACACAGUGAAACCCCGUCUCUACUAAAAAUACAAAAAAUUAGCCAGGCGAGGUGGUGGGCGCCUGUAGUCCCAGCUACUUGGGAGGCUGAGGCAGGAGAAUGGCGUGAACCCCGGGGGGCGGAGCCUGCAGUGAACCGAGAUCGUGCCACUGCACUCCAGCCUGGGUGACAGCGAGACUCCGUCUCAAAAAAAAAAAAAAAAAAAGAACAAAAUGCUUCUCUCUGGGCCUCAGCUGUUUCCUCAUCUGUAAAUGAGAAGGGUGGGCCAGAUACUCUUUCAUGUCUGGUGUAAUGAAGCCCUGGAGUGGGCUGCCUAUGACUGCACCCAGCUGUACCACACCCCACCUGGGUGUCUUUGGGUGAGGUACUUGGUAGCUCCAAGUCUCAUCUUCCUUAUCCAAAAUGAUGGACACAAAAAUAGUAUUGACCUCAUGGAAUAGGUGUGAAGAUGAAAACAGACAAUGCAUAUGGAUGCUUCACACAGACCCUGGGGUGGCAAAUGUGCUCAGUACUUGUUAGCUAUUAGUGUGAGUCUACUCUUUUAGUCUAUGAAUUUUGUUAGAGGAACUCCUGCUUACCAGGCCUCUGGUUUAAUAAAACAUGACUGGAGUGACUCCAUCCUGAAGUGAGUAGGCUAGGCACUCACAAGUCACCUAUAGGGUUAAUGCUUUAUGGUCUGAAAAUAGCCACAUUUCUAAGCUCACCACCACUUAUAAUUACAGAAGAUUGAUGGCUAUAUAGGACAUCUCCCACCAAGCCUGCAGAAUGUCCAGAUGUCCCAAGUGCAGCCCACUUUACUCAGAGAUAAUGUCAGUGAGCAGACUCAAGUUGAAGGAUUGAUGGUCACUAGAGCACCAACAGCCCCUACCUUUAGUGAGCACAUCUGCACAUUCCAAGUUUAAUCAUAGCUCCUUAUAGCUUCUUAUAAGCAGAGAUGUUCCUAAAGGACAGGGGUUCCUCCUCCUGCUUUCUGGGCAUGCCCUACUCUCUAAUGGAGUAGUUUCCAAUAAAUUUGCUUCUUUGUCUGUGCUCCAAUUCUUUCCUGUGUGAGAUCUAAGAACCCACUCUUGGGGUCUAGAUUGGGAUCCUCUUUUCUGGCAACAUCUUGAGUAUGUGACCAUGAGAAAUGUUAGAAACUGGAGUGAAAGGUACAUAAACAUUUGAACCCAAUGCCAUUCUCUGGUUCUCCCAGAGGCACAGUAAAAAAAAGUAUUGACAUAGAAGAAGGAAACAAAAAGUUGUCAGGAGUUAAAGAAUAAAGAUUUUUUUUUCUGGAUUUUGUGGUGUUUGUGGUAUUUGUUAGCUUUUAUGAUUUGUAAUUUGUUGUAAUUUCUCUUUCUAAAUAAACGUUUACUUUUGUCUCUAA